GAAUCAGACUUAACCAUGUACUUACAAAGUUAUUCUGCUCAUAUGACUCUGUUACUUUCAGGCAGUGGGAUUGGAGCAACCAAUUCGAACUUGACCACCACACCAAUGACAAUGAAUGGCGCUAGAGGCACUUCCUCUGACUCAGGCAAAGACGGUGGAAGCAUCAACUCAUCAGACUCUGGUAAAGGCAGCCAGAAGGAAGGUCUUCAGAUGGAGCCAGUGAGGAGGAAGUUAAGACACCGAUGCUGCCUAAUUGAAGUAAGUCGAUGGAUAUCAACCCUUCUUUCACCUCUUCUCCAACUGUCCCAAGUUUAUUACAGAAAUGA
rnacentral:lncRNA from 1 species